GAUGAAGAACGUAGCGAAAUGCGAUAAGUAGUGUGAAUUGCAGAAUUCAGUGAAUCAUCGAAUCUUUGAACGCACAUUGCGCCCCUUGGUAUUCCAUGGAGCAUGCCUGUUCGAGCGUCAUUUGUACCUUCAAGCUUUGCUUGGUGUUGGGUGUUUGUCUCGCCUCCGCGUGUAGACUCGCCUCAAAACAAUUGGCAGCCGGCGUAUUGAUUUCGGAGCGCAGUACAUCUCGCGCUUUGCACUCACAACGACGACGUCCAAAAGUACAUUUUUACACUCUUGACCUCGGAUCAGGUAGGGAUACCCGCUGAACUUAAGCAUAUCAAUAAGCGGAGGA
rnacentral:misc_RNA from 1 species